rnacentral:snRNA from 1 species
AGUAUGACUUUGAACUAAUGUC